CUAAUGAUGAAUUUUAGAAUAAUAUCAAGAAAAAUGUAUUAUUAAAAAAAAAAUUCCAGGUAUUUUACAUAUUUCUGCAAUCAUCCAAACUUUUUGAAAUAACAAAAAUCAAUACUUAAAAUCCAUCAAUAUCAUCCUACGCAUUUAUAUAUAUUAUAGAACUCGCCUUCAUUCCAUCUUUUCCCUUUUCACCAACUUUCAAAAGAAAAAGAAAAAGUUAUUUCACUUUCAGCUGGAUCAAUUCAGACUCUUCCACAUACAACGAUAUAUAUAAUCAUGGUCAUAAUAGUGCAGAAAAAGGGAAUACGAUUCCCACAGUCCGGUUGACACAUCCACCGUGUCAUCCUGCACUUAUGUAUACCUGGUUCGCCACGCAGGUGAUCUGCAAUACCAGAAGAUUCAGUUUUCGGCUAUGUUACGAAAUUCUCGAUCACUUAUACACUCCCACGGUUGGAUUUCCAUCUAUUCAAAUAUCGACGAUGGAAAUUCUUGGUGCAACGAUCAACAUGCAUUCCGAAAGGAUUUCCCAGGUCGAGCCAGGUAACACGAUCGGAAUCGAUAUUUGAAUGGACGUUUACAUAAGAGGCCACGCAUCUCUCUACGCUUGUCCUUUACCUGAGAAUAGGAUAAAGGGUUACGCCAAUCUUUUAUUACCCUUUAUCCCUAUGGAAUGGAGAUUGUGAUGGAUAGAUCUCUGGUGUAGUGACAAAUUCCUAUUAUUUGGAAUUCAAUAAUGAAUAGCUACUUCUGAACAGGCGAGUGACUUCACAGAUUAAUCGCGGAUCUCCGUCGAUGUGUUUCGAGAUCCGUUUCCCCUUCAAGAUCGAUGAAAAUCCUAUUACAGGACAACGUUUUGUGUAUCGAGGAGCUUGGUAAUAAUGCGAUCCAUUCGAAAUACCCUUUACGAAAACGUUAGGAGGAACGAUCGCCGGUCCGAUGGAGGAAAGAAUUACGUUUUGAAAAUGAUUGGAAACCGGCUGAAAGGCCCCUGUCCAUUCUGAAUGCUAAGCUGCCUAAUUUCAUCCCUCGGUGUCUAGAUAGUAUUUCAUCUUCUGGCAAAUCCCUGGAACAGGUAAAAAUGGGGGUGAACCGUGGCGAUCGAUGUUCCCACGCUUCGGGUUGCAAAACAUCGAUGAGCCGGUGAACGAUGCACCCUGAACAUGUUAUUUUCAAGGGAAACUGUUGCGUGCACCGUCCACUCAUAUCCGGUUAUGGACCACAGUGUCGAACUUGAGCAACAUAUGUGUGUAUCCACCUGGUUCGAGCUUUUUCACGUUUUCGAUUUUUCCACGAAAUACUUUUAUUAUGAAAUUAAGAAUUGUUUAAAGAGUUUCU